rnacentral:tRNA from 1 species
GCUGAUGUAGCUCAAUUGGCAGAGCAUCUGACUUGUAAUCAGAGGGUUGAGUGUUCAAUUCACUUCGUCAGCU